rnacentral:rRNA from 1 species
UACGAAGGGGGCUAGCGUUGCUCGGAAUUACUGGGCGUAAAGGGCGCGUAGGCGGCACUGUUAGUCAGGCGUGAAAGUCCUGGGCUCAACCUGGGAACUGCGCUUGAUACGGCAGAGCUAGAGGAUGGAAGAGGGUCGCGGAAUUCCCAGUGUAGAGGUGAAAUGCGUAGAGAUCGGGAGGAACACCAGUGGCGAAGGCGGCUACCUGGACCAGCAUUGACACUCAAGCACGAAAGCGUGGGGAGCAAACAGG